AGCGAACCCGCACAGGCGGUCCUUUCACAGGUGCCUUGCUGCCCGGAAGGCCCCCAGCUUUCCCUUCUGCAAAAUGGGCAGCAAACGCCUACAAAGCACCGCGCAGCCUCGGGCUCAUCCUCAAAGGGCUGAGUAUCGCUAGCUGGAUUGGAGGGAGACCUCCCCGCCCCCAAUUCCGGCUUGGGUUCCCCGCCCAGCAUCUCCGGAGUCCAGCUGGGGACCCACCGUCCGAGCCAGCCAGAUCAGACCUCGCAAUGGGACCUCAGCGAACCUUUGUCCUAAGACUGGAGAUGGCAUGGACCGAACAAGGAGGUGCCACAGACCCCUCCCUGAGCAGGGUUAUUGUCCUCGCAGUGGAGGUAAGUCAGAAGAAAAUACAGGGUCCAGUAACAUGCCCAUCACUUCCCGGCCAAAGCUGUGUCCCGA
rnacentral:lncRNA from 1 species